UUAAGCGACUAAGCGUACACGGUGGAUGCCCUGGCAGUCAGAGGCGAUGAAGGACGUGCUAAUCUGCGAUAAGCGUCGGUAAGGUGAUAUGAACCGUUAUAACCGGCGAUUUCCGAAUGGGGAAACCCAGUGUGAUUCGUCACACUAUCAUUAACUGAAUCCAUAGGUUAAUGAGGCGAACCGGGGGAACUGAAACAUCUAAGUACCCCGAGGAAAAGAAAUCAACCGAGAUUCCCCCAGUAGCGGCGAGCGAACGGGGAGCAGCCCAGAGCCUGAAUCAGUGUGUGUGUUAGUGGAAGCGUCUGGAAAGGCGCGCGAUACAGGGUGACAGCCCCGUACACAAAAAUGCACAUGCUGUGAGCUCGAUGAGUAGGGCGGGACACGUGGUAUCCUGUCUGAAUAUGGGGGGACCAUCCUCCAAGGCUAAAUACUCCUGACUGACCGAUAGUGAACCAGUACCGUGAGGGAAAGGCGAAAAGAACCCCGGCGAGGGGAGUGAAAAAGAACCUGAAACCGUGUACGUACAAGCAGUGGGAGCACAGAGCAAUCUGUGUGACUGCGUACCUUUUGUAUAAUGGGUCAGCGACUUAUAUUCUGUAGCAAGGUUAACCGAAUAGGGGAGCCGAAGGGAAACCGAGUCUUAACUGGGCGUUAAGUUGCAGGGUAUAGACCCGAAACCCGGUGAUCUAGCCAUGGGCAGGUUGAAGGUUGGGUAACACUAACUGGAGGACCGAACCGACUAAUGUUGAAAAAUUAGCGGAUGACUUGUGGCUGGGGGUGAAAGGCCAAUCAAACCGGGAGAUAGCUGGUUCUCCCCGAAAGCUAUUUAGGUAGCGCCUCGUGAAUUCAUCUCCGGGGGUAGAGCACUGUUUCGGCAAGGGGGUCAUCCCGACUUACCAACCCGAUGCAAACUGCGAAUACCGGAGAAUGUUAUCACGGGAGACACACGGCGGGUGCUAACGUCCGUCGUGAAGAGGGAAACAACCCAGACCGCCAGCUAAGGUCCCAAAGUCAUGGUUAAGUGGGAAACGAUGUGGGAAGGCCCAGACAGCCAGGAUGUUGGCUUAGAAGCAGCCAUCAUUUAAAGAAAGCGUAAUAGCUCACUGGUCGAGUCGGCCUGCGCGGAAGAUGUAACGGGGCUAAACCAUGCACCGAAGCUGCGGCAGCGACGCUUAUGCGUUGUUGGGUAGGGGAGCGUUCUGUAAGCCUGCGAAGGUGUGCUGUGAGGCAUGCUGGAGGUAUCAGAAGUGCGAAUGCUGACAUAAGUAACGAUAAAGCGGGUGAAAAGCCCGCUCGCCGGAAGACCAAGGGUUCCUGUCCAACGUUAAUCGGGGCAGGGUGAGUCGACCCCUAAGGCGAGGCCGAAAGGCGUAGUCGAUGGGAAACAGGUUAAUAUUCCUGUACUUGGUGUUACUGCGAAGGGGGGACGGAGAAGGCUAUGUUGGCCGGGCGACGGUUGUCCCGGUUUAAGCGUGUAGGCUGGUUUUCCAGGCAAAUCCGGAAAAUCAAGGCUGAGGCGUGAUGACGAGGCACUACGGUGCUGAAGCAACAAAUGCCCUGCUUCCAGGAAAAGCCUCUAAGCAUCAGGUAACAUCAAAUCGUACCCCAAACCGACACAGGUGGUCAGGUAGAGAAUACCAAGGCGCUUGAGAGAACUCGGGUGAAGGAACUAGGCAAAAUGGUGCCGUAACUUCGGGAGAAGGCACGCUGAUAUGUAGGUGAAGUCCCUCGCGGAUGGAGCUGAAAUCAGUCGAAGAUACCAGCUGGCUGCAACUGUUUAUUAAAAACACAGCACUGUGCAAACACGAAAGUGGACGUAUACGGUGUGACGCCUGCCCGGUGCCGGAAGGUUAAUUGAUGGGGUCAGCGCAAGCGAAGCUCUUGAUCGAAGCCCCGGUAAACGGCGGCCGUAACUAUAACGGUCCUAAGGUAGCGAAAUUCCUUGUCGGGUAAGUUCCGACCUGCACGAAUGGCGUAAUGAUGGCCAGGCUGUCUCCACCCGAGACUCAGUGAAAUUGAACUCGCUGUGAAGAUGCAGUGUACCCGCGGCAAGACGGAAAGACCCCGUGAACCUUUACUAUAGCUUGACACUGAACAUUGAGCCUUGAUGUGUAGGAUAGGUGGGAGGCUUUGAAGUGUGGACGCCAGUCUGCAUGGAGCCGACCUUGAAAUACCACCCUUUAAUGUUUGAUGUUCUAACGUUGACCCGUAAUCCGGGUUGCGGACAGUGUCUGGUGGGUAGUUUGACUGGGGCGGUCUCCUCCUAAAGAGUAACGGAGGAGCACGAAGGUUGGCUAAUCCUGGUCGGACAUCAGGAGGUUAGUGCAAUGGCAUAAGCCAGCUUGACUGCGAGCGUGACGGCGCGAGCAGGUGCGAAAGCAGGUCAUAGUGAUCCGGUGGUUCUGAAUGGAAGGGCCAUCGCUCAACGGAUAAAAGGUACUCCGGGGAUAACAGGCUGAUACCGCCCAAGAGUUCAUAUCGACGGCGGUGUUUGGCACCUCGAUGUCGGCUCAUCACAUCCUGGGGCUGAAGUAGGUCCCAAGGGUAUGGCUGUUCGCCAUUUAAAGUGGUACGCGAGCUGGGUUUAGAACGUCGUGAGACAGUUCGGUCCCUAUCUGCCGUGGGCGCUGGAGAACUGAGGGGGGCUGCUCCUAGUACGAGAGGACCGGAGUGGACGCAUCACUGGUGUUCGGGUUGUCAUGCCAAUGGCACUGCCCGGUAGCUAAAUGCGGAAGAGAUAAGUGCUGAAAGCAUCUAAGCACGAAACUUGCCCCGAGAUGAGUUCUCCCUGACUCCUUGAGAGUCCUGAAGGAACGUUGAAGACGACGACGUUGAUAGGCCGGGUGUGUAAGCGCAGCGAUGCGUUGAGCUAACCGGUACUAAUGAACCGUGAGGCUUAACCUU
rnacentral:rRNA from 1 species